rnacentral:rRNA from 1 species
GAUGAACGCUGGCGGCGUGCCUAAUACAUGCAAGUCGAGCGAACGGACGAGAAGCUUGCUUCUCUGAUGUUAGCGGCGGACGGGUGAGUAACACGUGGAUAACCUACCUAUAAGACUGGGAUAACUUCGGGAAACCGGAGCUAAUACCGGAUAAUAUUUUGAACCGCAUGGUUCAAAAGUGAAAGACGGUCUUGCUGUCACUUAUAGAUGGAUCCGCGCUGCAUUAGCUAGUUGGUAAGGUAACGGCUUACCAAGGCAACGAUGCAUAGCCGAACUGAGAGGGUGGUCGGCCACACUGGGACUGAGACACGGUCCAGACUCCUACGGGGGGCAGCAGGAGGGAAACUUCCGCAAUGGGCGAAAGCCUGGCGGAGCAACGCCGCGUGGGUGGUGAAGGUCUUCGGAUCGUAAAACUCUGUUAUUAGGGAAGAACAUAUGUGUAAGUAACUGUGCACAUCUUGACGGUACCUAAUCAGAAAGCCACGGCUAACUACGUG